rnacentral:rRNA from 1 species
AUGGGUAGCAAGCUUUGUAGGAUUCUGGAGGAUAUCAAUGUCCUCAUUGCGGAGAUGCAUGACUUUGGGUUGAGGCAGACGUUCUUGGUGUCCAAUCAAUUGAGGCAGACACCACCGGUGUCAAAGGAGUGCAGGCAGACAGAUUAUGUCAUCAUUGACCCACAAGAAAUUGCCAGCAGAUCCAGACACGAAGAUAAGAAUAAUAUCAUCGACAUACUACCUGGUGAAGCUAGCAAUGUAGAUCUCGCAGUAGUUCCCAUUGUUGGAAUGGGGGGCCUUGGCAAGACCACAUUAGCGCAACUCAUAUAUAAUGAACCUGAAAUUCAGAAGCAUUUUCCGUUGCAGCUCUGGGUCUGCGUCUCUGAUACCUUCGAUGUGGAUUCAGUGGCUAAGAGUAUAGUUGAAGCAUCCCACAAGAAACAUGGUGAUACAGACAAACCAUCACUGGAGAGACUUCAAAAACAGGUCAGCGGGCAGAGGUAUCUCCUUGUAUUGGAUGAUGUCUGGAACAGAGAUGUCCAUAAGUGGGAAAGGCUGAAGGUCUGUCUUCGGCAUGGUGGCAUGGGUAGUGCAGUGUUGACGACAACCCGUGAUAAACAAAUUUCUGAAAUUAUGGGCCCACAUAGAACCUACAAUCUCAAUGUUUUGAAGGAUAACUUCAUAAAGGAAAUUAUUGUGGAUAGAGCAUUCAGUUCGGAGAAUGACAAGCCUCCCGAGCUAGUCGAGAUGGUUGGUGAUAUUGCAAAGAGAUGUCGUGGCUCUCCUUUAGCCGCAACUGCACUGGGAUCUGUACUUCGUACCAAGACCAGUGUGGAAGAAUGGAAGGCUGUAUCAUCUAGAAGCAGUAUUUGCACCGAGGAAUCUGGAAUUUUGCCGAUACUCAAGGUUAGCUACAACGAUUUUCCAGCACACAUGAAGCAGUGCUUUGCUUUCUGUGCCAUAUUUCCCAAGGAUUACAAGAUUAAUGUGGAGAAGCUUAUCCAACUAUGGAUCGCAAAUGGCUUUAUCCCAGAACAGGAGGAAGAUAGUCUUGAAACUAUUGGAGAACAUAUUUUCAUUGAGCUAGCAUCAAGGUCAUUCUUUCUGGACAUAAAGGAAUUUAAGGGGGACAGUGAUUAUUGUUUCAGAACUACAUGCAAAAUCCAUGAUCUUAUGCAUGAUAUUGCAAUGUCUUUUAUGGGAAAGGAAUGUGUCGCUGCAAUCAAGGAACCAAGUCAAAUUGAGUGGCUUUCCGAUAAUGCACGACAUUUGUUCUUGUCAUGUGAAGAAACAGAAGGUAUUUUGAAUAAUUCUUUGGAGAAAAAAUCCCCUGCCAUUCAAACACUGAUAUGUGAUAAUCCUAUGCGAAGCUCAUUGAAGCAUUUAUCAAAAUAUAGCUCUUUGCACGCCUUGAAGCUCUGUAUUAGAGACACAAAAUUAUUUCUACUGGAACCAAAGUAUCUGCAUCACUUGAGGUACCUUGAUAUCUCAAACAGUUCUAUCAAAUCACUUCCUGAAGAUAUAAGUAUUCUAUAUAAUCUGCAAACGUUGGACCUUUCCAAUUGCUCUGCUCUUGAUCGACUUCCGAGGAAAAUGAAGUAUAUGACUUCCCUCUGCCACCUCUACACUCAUGGAUGUCUCGAGUUGAAGAGCAUGCCUCCAGGAUUUGAAAAUCUCACUAAGCUGCAGACACUCACUGUUUUUGUAGCAGGAGUUCCUGGCCCUGAUUGCGCUGAUGUUGGAGAGCUGCAUGAUUUAAAGAUUGGUGGUCAGCUAGAGCUACGUCAGGUAGAGAAUGUUGAGAAAGUAGAAGCAGAAGUGGCAAACCUUGGAAACAAGAAGGAUCUCAGUCAACUAACAUUAACAUGGAGUAAGGUUGGGGAUAGCAAGGUGCUAGAGAAGUUCGAACCUCAUGGUGGGCUGCAGGUUCUGAAGAUAUAUUCCUAUGGAGGAGAGUGCAUGGGUAUGUUGCAAAAGAUGGUUGAGAUCCAUCUUUUUUGUUGUGAAAGAUUGCGACUUUUGUCCGGAUGCAGUGCAAUCUUCACUUUUCCAAGACUGAAGGUGCUUACCCUAGAAUAUUUGUUGGGUUUUGAGGGAUGGUGGGAAAUAGAUGAAAGGCAAGAAAAACAGACAAUAUUUCCUGUGCUUGAGAAGUUGUUUAUUAGUAAUUGUGGGAAGUUGGUAGCAUUACCUGAAGCACCAUUGCUGCAAGGACCUUGUGGUGAAGAUGGUUAUACAUUGGUACACUCAGCAUUUCCUGCCCUAAAGGUGCUCAAAAUUAAAAACUUGGAGAGCUUUCAGAGAUGGGAUGCAGUCUAA